GUGAUAGCUCAGUCAAUAGAGCAUGAGACUGUUAAUCUCAAGGUUGUGCGUUCGAGUCCUCUGGUGGGCG